rnacentral:rRNA from 1 species
CGGUGGUCCUGUUUUGUUGGUUUCUGAAUCACCGUAAUGAUUAAUAGGGAUAGUUGGGGGCAUUAGUAUUCAAUUGUCAGAGGUGAAAUUCUUGGAUUUAUUGAAGACUAACUUCUGCGAAAGCAUUUGCCAGGGAUGUUUUCAUUAAUCAAGAACGAAAGUUAGGGGAUCGAAGACGAUCAGAUACCGUCGUAGUCUUAACCAUAAACUAUGCCGACUAGGGAUCGGACGAUGUUAAAUUUUAUUGACUCGUUCGGCGCCUUACGGGAAACCAAAGUGUUUGGGUUCCGGGGGGAGUAUGGUCGCAAGGCUGAAACUUAAAGGAAUUGACGGAAGGGCACCACCAGGGGUGGAGCCUGCGGCUUAAUUUGACUCAACACGGGGAAACUCACCAGGUCCAGA